GCAAGAAUGGUGAAAUUGGUAGACACGCAAGAUUCAGAUUCUUGUAUUAGAAAUAAUGUGUGGGUUCGAGUCCCAUUUCUUGCA
rfam:Coprobacillus sp. CAG:698 genomic scaffold, scf72